CUUUGCACACGCGGGAGCUCGGAGCACCGGGCUGAGAGGGCGCUGACCUCCGUCGUUGCGAUGUUUCACGUGGAACAGACGAUGUUCCCCGGAGACCUCGACCGACGGUGACCGCUGCGUCGACCGCCGAACCUGUUACCGGGUAAUGCCGGCGUAGGGAGUAGGUCUCAUGACCAA
rnacentral:ncRNA from 1 species